GUGGGGAAUAUUGGACAAUGGGCGAAAGCCUGAUCCAGCCAUGCCGCGUGUGUGAAGAAGGUCUUCGGAUUGUAAAGCACUUUAAGUUGGGAGGAAGGGCAGUAAGUUAAUACCUUGCUGUUUUGACGUUACCGACAGAAUAAGCACCGGCUAACUUCGUGCCAGCAGCCGCGGUAAUACGAAGGGUGCAAGCGUUAAUCGGAAUUACUGGGCGUAAAGCGCGCGUAAGUGGUUUUGUAAGUUGGAGGUGAAAUCCCCGGGCUCAACCUGGGAACUGCCUCCAAAACUGCAUGACUAGAGUACGGUAGAGGGUAGUGGAAUUUCCUGUGUAGCGGUGAAAUGCGUAGAUAUAGGAAGGAACACCAGUGGCGAAGGCGACUACCUGGACUGAUACUGACACUGAGGUGCGAAAGCAUGGGGAGCAAACAGGAUUAGAUACCCGUGUAGUCC
rnacentral:rRNA from 1 species